AUGUUAAUGGUCUUUUUCAGAAUAUUUUUACUUUGUUCUUGUCCCUGUGUACUCACAGCAAGAGAAAGUGACUGCCUGGCUUGGGUGAAGCAUUUCUGUGUACUCGUAUCCACUCUUCACGGGAGAAGAUGCGCCCACACCGAGACAGUCACUGAGACAUCAGAAAACAUCACUGAGAUCAUGAAAGAAAUUGUGCAAUAUUCUAUGGGGAAAUGAGCGCUGGACCAGGGAAGGCCAGAACUUCAUUUCUAGCUCUGGCGUUUACUCAGUGUUUACAAUUAGGUAAGUAAUUUAAGCUGUCUGAUUUUCAGUUUUCUCAUUUGGAAAAUGAAGGCACUGAAGCAGAAUACUUUUGUAUACUUGUCUAGUUUAAAACUAAGAUUAAUUUCUCUUCAGAUAUGAGAACGGCAUGGAUCUUGCAUAAAGAUCAUUGUUUUUUAACUUGACUGCUCUUUUCAUCACUGCAGACUCAGAUAUUCCCUGUCCCUGGGAGGCAGCCCAGAACAAGCAAAGAAAAGUUCCUAUGUGUAGAGCCCAGGCACUUGUAUGUCUUAAAAGUUCCCUGGUUAAUUUCAAUACACCAUCAGGUAGAAAGUUCCAACUUCAUGGCCUAUUUUAACUACUGCACUGGGCAGUGUGACAUAUAAG
rnacentral:lncRNA from 1 species